rnacentral:rRNA from 1 species
GAUGAACGCUGACAGAAUGCUUAACACAUGCAAGUCUUUGGCGAAUCUGUGCUUGCACAGGCUAGCCAAGGCGGACGGGUGAGUAACGCGUAAAGAACUUGCCCUGCAGACAGGGAUAACAGACGGAAACGACUGAUAACACCUGAUACAGUUGCCGGCACGCAUGUGCCUGGCAAUGAAAAGAGAUGCUGCAGGAGAGCUUUGCGUCCUAUUAGCUUGUUGGUGAGGUGACGGCUCACCAAGGCGAUGAUAGGUAGCCGGCCUGAGAGGGUGAACGGCCACAAGGGGACUGAGAUACGGCCCUUACUCCUACGGGAGGCAGCAGGGGGGAAUAUUGGACAAUGGGGGCAACCCUGAUCCAGCAAUUCUGUGUGCACGAAGAAGGUUUUCGGAUUGUAAAGUGCUUUCAGCAGGGAAGAAGAAAGUGACGGUACCUGCAGAAGAAGCGACGGCUAAAUACGUG